rnacentral:lncRNA from 1 species
GUGAGAUCAGGGCAGAUCCUUACUCGUUCGUCUCCUAACCAGCUCAGUCAGACACCCGAGGCCGUGAGACCGGAAUGCUCUGACCUCAAUACAGCCAGGCACUGUCCCUCCAAGCCCGGUCCUCGCCUCACUCCACCUCUUUGCUUUGCUCCGUUUCAGCUGUGCAUCCUUAAGUGAUUCAGGGGCUCCGGGCCAAAGGGCUCUUUGCCCCGCUGGGCUGAUUCUGAAGAGAAACGGUGAUGUGCCAGGAGGUCUGGGAGGCGAAUGUCAUUUCAUCACUGUUCUCCCGGGAGAGUAAUGUCCGUAGCCAGACAUAUGCUCAUGGCCUGGAAUGAAGUCGACUGCAAUUACAUCCUAAGGGAGUCACUCAACGGGGGUUUUGUGGAGGCAGGACACAGGCUCUGGUGGAGCUGCACAUGUGCUGUUAGAGCUCCAACUGCACUCACUCUGCCUUCAGCUUUGUGGGAACAAGGAGCAGCAGGCUCACAAAUACAGCCAGUCUGGUGCACAUCUGGAGGCAGUAAUUGGAGUGCCUGUCUCUGUGCUAGAUGAGAGCCUGUGGGGAGUUCAGGGAGUGCAGGUCUGGGCCGUGUAUCACCCUGUCACCAGGACCAAGCUGUGAGAGGUCAGUACAUGUGCACAGCUCAGAGCAAUGCAUGCUGUGCUGGGGAAGGGGGUGGGGAAUGGCAGGUUUGAAACCCUCACUGGUAUUUUAUCUUCCGUUUAGCAUGGCUCAGGUUUGUCAACAAAACAUCAUGGUCCUGAAAUGUCAAGCCUGAGGUGGAACUGGGAAAAGAACAUCCUAGAGGUCCUGGGUUUCUGUCUAGGGCUUUGGACACAGCUUCAGUCGAAGAUUCGCCCUUCCUGAAAGGAGAGACAUGUCAAAGUGUAAUGUUUACAUCAAUUAUGUGAAGUCCAUUCAGGCCUAUUCAACCCCCUGUCUCUGCAUAACUUUUUUUUGGCAAGCAUUAACCAGUAAGGAAGGGAGUAAAUCUUGCUUGAAGUUAUUUUUCUUCCUGCUCCUGUGUCCCACCCCCAGGCGCCCCACUGCAGGUGCUACAGAGGCAAAAACCAGUGCUCCUGCAGAGACAGAUUAGCAGCACACAAAAUGAUCUCCCUCCUCCUUGUGCACCCCAGAGCCUGGAAACUCCCCCAUCUCUCCAGCCUUGCAGCCCAGCUGUCCCAAACCCCAGACAGCAGGGAUGGAUAACAGCAGGCUGCUCUGCACUGCAGCCCAGGCGAUAGAG